rnacentral:pre_miRNA from 1 species
GUAUUAUCGUGAGUUCCCUUAAAGCACUUCACACGGCACUAUUUUAAGAAUCAUGUGAAGUGUUUGGGGAACUCUCGAUUUCAC